GCUGGUGCGCUGCUUAAAUGCAGUCGACGGUAACAGGUCUUCGGACGCUGACGAGUGGCGAACGGGUGAGUAAUACAUCGGAACGUGCCCAGUCGUGGGGGAUAACUACUCGAAAGAGUAGCUAAUACCGCAUACGAUCUGAGGAUGAAAGCGGGGGACCUUCGGGCCUCGCGCGAUUGGAGCGGCCGAUGGCAGAUUAGGUAGUUGGUGGGAUAAAAGCUUACCAAGCCGACGAUCUGUAGCUGGUCUGAGAGGACGACCAGCCACACUGGGACUGAGACACGGCCCAGACUCCUACGGGAGGCAGCAGUGGGGAAUUUUGGACAAUGGGCGAAAGCCUGAUCCAGCAAUGCCGCGUGCAGGAUGAAGGCCUUCGGGUUGUAAACUGCUUUUGUACGGAACGAAAAAGCUCCUUCUAAUACAGGGGGCCCAUGACGGUACCGUAAGAAUAAGCACCGGCUAACUACGUGCCAGCAGCCGCGGUAAUACGUAGGGUGCGAGCGUUAAUCGGAAUUACUGGGCGUAAAGCGUGCGCAGGCGGUUAUGUAAGACAGAUGUGAAAUCCCCGGGCUCAACCUGGGAACUGCAUUUUGUGACUGCAUGGCUAGAGUACGGUAGAGGGGGAUGGAAUUCCGCGUGUAACAGUGAAAUGCGUAGAUAUGCGGAGGAACACCGAUGGCGAAGGCAAUCCCCUGGAACUGUACUGACGCUCAUGGACGAAAGCGUGGGGGAGCAAAACGGAUUAGAUACCCUGGUAUCCACGCCCUAAACCGAUGUCACUUGUUGUUGGGAAUUUACUUUUCCUCAGUACCAAAGCUUACGCGUGAAAGUUGAACCGCCAUGGGUAGUACAGCACGCCAACGUUAGAAACGUAAAAGGAUUUGUACGGUGAACCCGCCACUACCUUUGUAUGAUCUGUUUUUAUUGCGUUGGCAUAGCGAAGGUAGCUUGUGCCACCUGUUUGACAUUGCGAGGAUUUUUCG
rnacentral:rRNA from 1 species